UAGGGAGACCUACUUUUGAUGAGAGUGCCAAAUCCAACAAAAAUAGCACCAUCAAAAGUCAUCCCAGGUCGUUACGAGAAAAAUGGAAAACACAACAACAGCUUUCAAACUCGGAAGUCCGGUUCAAAACCUAGGACAAUUCAGCACCUAGCUUCAAUCAAAAAGAAGCCAGAAUGCUGGACUAACAAGUCCAGACAGAGCCUUGAAAAUUGCAGAGAAACAAAAACUGGCAGUAGUUCGUAGUUAGAACUCCCAGCCGCAGGAAAGGAAACUGACCUACAGUUGAGAGAACUAACCAAA
rnacentral:misc_RNA from 1 species